CCUACGGGAGGCAGCAGUAAGGAAUAUUGGUCAAUGGACGCAAGUCUGAACCAGCCAUGCCGCGUGAAGGAUUAAGGCCCUCUGGGUUGUAAACUUCUUUUAUAGGGGACGAAAAAAGGGCAUUCUUGCUCACUUGACGGUACCCUAGGAAUAAGCACCGGCUAACUCCGUGCCAGCAGCCGCGGUAAUACGGAGGGUGCAAGCGUUAUCCGGAUUUACUGGGUUUAAAGGGUGCGUAGGUGGGUUGGUAAGUCAGUGGUGAAAUCUUCGAGCUUAACUCGGAAACUGCCAUUGAUACUAUCAAUCUUGAAUCAUCUAGAGGUAAGCGGAAUAUGUCAUGUAGCGGUGAAAUGCUUAGAUAUGACAUAGAACACCAAUUGCGAAGGCAGCUUACUAUGGAUGCAUUGACACUGAGGCACGAAAGCGUGGGGAUCAAACAGGAUUAGAUACCCUGGUAGUCCACGCCCUAAACGAUGGAUACUCGACAUUUGUGAUAUACAAUAAGUGUCUGAGCGAAAGCAUUAAGUAUCCACCUGGGAAGUACGACCGCAAGUUGAAACUUCAAAUUGAUUGNGNGNGAGAGNGCGAGAGACACGAGGAGAGG
rnacentral:rRNA from 1 species